rnacentral:pre_miRNA from 1 species
CCUGCCCUCGAGGAGCUCACAGUCUAGUAUGUCUCCACCCUACUAGACUGAGGCUCCUUGAGGACAGG